GACGAACGCUGGCGGCGUGCUUAACACAUGCAAGUCGAACGAAGUGGCGGACGGGUGAGUAACGCGUAAUCAACCUGCCCUUCAGAGGGGGACAACAGUUGGAAACGACUGCUAAUACCGCAUACUGAAGGAGGGGAUUGCGUCUGAUUAGCUAGUUGGAGGGGUAACGGCCCACCAAGGCGAUGAUCAGUAGCCGGUCUGAGAGGAUGAAAGGCCACAUGGGGACGGAUACACGGCCCGAACUCCUACGGGGGGAAGCAGUGGGGAAUCUUCCGCAAUGGACAAAAGUCUGACCGGGCAACGCCGCGGAAGUGAAGAAGUUUUUCGGUUCGUAAGACUCUGUUGUUAGAGAAGCGGUAUCUGACCAGAAAGCCACGGCUAACUACGUGCCAGCAGCCGCGGUAAUAC
rnacentral:rRNA from 1 species